rnacentral:rRNA from 1 species
GGUGAACGCUGGCGGCAUGCCUUACACAUGCAAGUCGAACGGCAGCACGGGGGCAACCCUGGUGGCGAGUGGCGAAUGGGUGAGUAAUGCAUCGGAACGUGCCCAGUAGUGGGGGGUAACCAGUCGAAAGACUGGUUAAUACCGCAUACGACCCAAGGGUGAAAGCGGGGGACCGUAAGGCCUCGCGCUAUUGGAGCGGCCGAUGUCUGAUUAGCUAGUUGGCGGGGUAAGAGCCCACCAAGGCGACGAUCAGUAGCUGGUCUGAGAGGACGACCAGCCACACUGGGACUGAGACACGGCCCAGACUCCUACGGGAGGCAGCAGUGGGGAAUUUUGGACAAUGGGCGCAAGCCUGAUCCAGCCAUGCCGCGUGCGGGAAGAAGGCCUUCGGGUUGUAAACCGCUUUUGGCAGGAACGGAACGGCGCAAGCCAAUACCUUGCGCUAAUGACGGUACCUGCAGAAUAAGCACCGGCUAACUACGUGCCAGCAGCCGCAGUAAAAC